rnacentral:tRNA from 1 species
GCUAAUAUAGUUUAAGUAAAAUACUAUUUUUGUAAUAUAGGGAUAAUGAUUUUUUACAUUUUUUAGCU